rnacentral:lncRNA from 1 species
AAACCAUUGUUCCCAAAUAACACAGCUUGUGACAGAAGAGAAGAGUGAACAUGAGUCACAAUUCCACCAUCAUUUUAAGUGGGCAAUGUCCACUAUCAGUGCCACAACCAGACUUGCACCUGCCCUUCCCUUGACCAUGGCUGCUUGGUUUGGUAGACUUCAACUCUUCACUUCCUCAUAGAAUCAUAAAACUGUGGAAUCAUCACAGAAUCAGUAAGUGGUUUGGGUUAGGGAGGGAAUCAUAGAACUAUGGGCCCAUUCAGCUCCAGUCCCCUGCCAUGAGCCAGCUGCCACACACCAGAUCAGCCUGCCCAGGGCCCCAUUCAGCACUGGGCAACUCCAGGGCUUGGGCACCCACAGUUUCACCAUCCCCUGAGCAAAGAAUUUCUUUGUAAUAUCCAAACUAAAUUUCCCCCUCUUUUAGUUUAAAGCCAUUCCCCCUUAUCUAAUCAUUUUUAGACCUUGAACCUGUGCAAAUGAAGUGCCAGUAUGAAAAAAACCAUGAAAUUCAGUAGAGAAUUGCCCACAUGACUACACAGGCUCCUGAGAAGCUUGAAAAUGGAGCACCUAGUACCAUAAUGAACACACUGUACAGUGGCUGUGAUGUCUGUACAUGAAAGUGUUGUGUUAAAGCCUCACAACACCAUCAGAAUGCCUUCUUGUGAAGAUAUUGUCCUUAUAAAUCAUUGGAAGGGAAUUUGCAAUCCAGACCAACCAGGAGAUCAGACAGCAAGGAGAUGGCUCCGAAAGCCUGAGAUGAGGAGGAUGUCACUUUAAGCCAUCCUGCCCCAGGGGGUGUCAGUGAGUGGUCAUCUCAUGAAGUCUUUUAUGCCCUCUUCAAGGCUCGUGAAGCUGUCAGUGGAAGUGCUACAUCUUCACACUUCAGUGAACUUCAGUACUACUUGUAAAAAAACAUGAUAGUAAAUUUU